GUUUCUUUUUUAUGAACUGUAUUCUGUAGAGUAACAAGCAAUUUAAAUAAAACAGCUCUUAAAGAUGCUCACAUGCAAAGUAGGAGCCAGGUCAACCGCCAUUAAAUCGUACAAGAAGAAGUAGCAGCCAGGUCUUGCCGCGUGUUGCCAGAUUGUGUGGGAUUCUGUUCUAGCCGUACUGCGCUUGCGCGUGGGAAGCCUGGGGUAGGCCCUGCUGUUAUUCUAACUCUAGUUCAAUCCUACACUGCCGUCUCAACCAAAACAAGGCGCAAGAAAAUCCCCCUCCUGGACGGCAAAUAACCGAGGGUUUCCAUCACCAUUGGAUUUGUUUGGAAGUAAAACUCUCAAUGACAAUCCACAGGAGCCCUUCUGCAACCUUCCCAACCUAAAGAAGAUUUUAGAGCAGAUUUACACUGGUUCAGGAGUAUUGCUGCUAUUACAGAAAUAAUGACAUGAGUGAGUUUAUUACUUCCCAAAUUAUUUCAUACAUAUAUUUAUUAUUA
rnacentral:lncRNA from 1 species